rnacentral:rRNA from 1 species
AGAGUUUGAUCAUGGCUCAGGACGAACGCUGGCGGCACGCUUAACACAUGCAAGUCGAACGAGAGAAGAGGAGCUUGCUUUUCUGAUCUAGUGGCGGACGGGUGAGUAACACGUGAGCAAUCUGCCUUUCAGAGGGGGAUACCGAUUGGAAACGAUCGUUAAUACCGCAUAACAUAAUUGUACCGCAUGAUUUGAUUAUCAAAGAUUUAUCGCUGAAAGAUGAGCUCGCGUCUGAUUAGCUAGUUGGUAAGGUAACGGCUUACCAAGGCGACGAUCAGUAGCCGGACUGAGAGGUUGAUCGGCCACAUUGGGACUGAGACACGGCCCAGACUCCUACGGGAGGCAGCAGUGGGGAAUAUUGCACAAUGGAGGAAACUCUGAUGCAGCGAUGCCGCGUGAGGGAAGAAGGUUUUAGGAUUGUAAACCUCUGUCUUCAGGGACGAAAAAAGACGGUACCUGAGGAGGAAGCUCCGGCUAACUACGUGCCAGCAGCCGCGGUAAUACGUAGGGAGCGAGCGUUGUCCGGAAUUACUGGGUGUAAAGGGAGCGUAGGCGGGAUCGCAAGUCAGAUGUGAAAACUAUGGGCUUAACCCAUAAACUGCAUUUGAAACUGUGGUUCUUGAGUGAAGUAGAGGUAAGCGGAAUUCCUAGUGUAGCGGUGAAAUGCGUAGAUAUUAGGAGGAACAUCAGUGGCGAAGGCGGCUUACUGGGCUUUAACUGACGCUGAGGCUCGAAAGCGUGGGGAGCAAACAGGAUUAGAUACCCUGGUAGUCCACGCCGUAAACGAUGAUUACUAGGUGUGGGGGGACUGACCCCUUCCGUGCCGCAGCAAACGCAAUAAGUAAUCCACCUGGGGAGUACGACCGCAAGGUUGAAACUCAAAGGAAUUGACGGGGGCCCGCACAAGCAGUGGAGUAUGUGGAUUAAUUCGAAGCAACGCGAAGAACCUUACCAGGUCUUGACAUCGUAUGCAUAGCUCAGAGAUGAGUGAAAUCUCUUCGGAGACAUAUAGACAGGUGGUGCAUGGUUGUCGUCAGCUCGUGUCGUGAGAUGUUGGGUUAAGUCCCGCAACGAGCGCAACCCUUACUGUUAGUUGCUACGCAAGAGCACUCUAGCAGGACUGCCGUUGACAAAACGGAGGAAGGUGGGGAUGACGUCAAAUCAUCAUGCCCCUUAUGACCUGGGCCUCACACGUACUACAAUGGCUGUCAACAGAGGGAAGCAAAGCCGCGAGGUGGAGCGAACCCCUAAAAGCAGUCUUAGUUCGGAUUGUAGGCUGCAACCCGCCUACAUGAAGUCGGAAUUGCUAGUAAUCGCAGAUCAGCAUGCUGCGGUGAAUACGUUCCCGGGCCUUGUACACACCGCCCGUCACGCCAUGGGAGUCGGUAACACCCGAAGCCUGUAGUCUAACCGCAAGGAGGACGCAGUCGAAGGUGGGAUUGAUGACUGGGGUGAAGUCGUAACAAGGUA